CUACUUACCCAACAGGGGAUAGACUGAGAUCAAUAAUGUGGUCUUCCUGGCUAAGGAUAUUCUUUGUGUUCCAGGUAUGCUGACUCUCGUGAUUUCCCAGAAUGUGGAGAAGCUGACUGCAUAGUUUGUAGUGAAAUAUUGUAUUUACAUAUUUAAA
ensembl:snRNA U1 U1 spliceosomal RNA